UAGGGAAUCUUCCGCAAUGGACGAAAGUCUGACGGAGCAACGCCGCGUGAGCGAAGAAGGCCUUCGGGUCGUAAAGCUCUGUUGUUAGGGAAGAACAAGUACGAGAGUAACUGCUCGUACCUUGACGGUACCUAACCAGAAAGCCACGGCUAACUACGUGCCAGCAGCCGCGGUAAUACGUAGGUGGCAAGCGUUGUCCGGAAUUAUUGGGCGUAAAGCGCGCGCAGGCGGUCCUUUAAGUCUGAUGUGAAAGCCCACGGCUCAACCGUGGAGGGUCAUUGGAAACUGGGGGACUUGAGUGCAGAAGAGGAGAGUGGAAUUCCACGUGUAGCGGUGAAAUGCGUAGAGAUGUGGAGGAACACCAGUGGCGAAGGCGACUCUCUGGUCUGUAACUGACGCUGAGGCGCGAAAGCGUGGGGAGCGAAACAGGAUUAGAUACCCUGGUAGUCCACGCCGUAAACGAUGAGUGCUAAGUGUUAGAGGGUUUCCGCCCUUUAGUGCUGC
rnacentral:rRNA from 1 species